CCUCGGUUUGCACGCUCUCUCGGCGAUCAGGCAGACGAGAGAGCACGCGAAUCGAGGAG
rnacentral:pre_miRNA from 1 species